rnacentral:rRNA from 1 species
CCUACGGGUUGCAGCAGUGGGGAAUAUUGGGCAAUGGGCGCAAGCCUGACCCAGCAACGCCGCGUGAAGGAAGAAGGCUUUCGGGUUGUAAACUUCUUUUAAGGGGGAAGAGCAGAAGACGGUACCCCUUGAAUAAGCCACGGCUAACUACGUGCCAGCAGCCGCGGUAAUACGUAGGUGGCAAGCGUUGUCCGGAUUUACUGGGUGUAAAGGGCGUGCAGCCGGAGAGACAAGUCAGAUGUGAAAUCCACGGGCUCAACCCGUGAACUGCAUUUGAAACUGUUUCCCUUGAGUGUCGGAGAGGUAAUCGGAAUUCCUUGUGUAGCGGUGAAAUGCGUAGAUAUCUGGAGGAACAUCAGUGGCGAAGGCGACUAUCUGGCACAUAACUGACGCUGAGGAGCGAAAGCGUGGGUAGCAAACAGGAUUAGAUACCCGAGUAGUC